AUUGAAACACGGGUUCCCAUACGAUCACCGAAGUUAAGCAAUGUCGAGCUUGGUCAGUAUCUGAAUGGAUGAUUGCUUAGGAAUACCAAGUACU